GGGUCCGCGUCUCAUUAGCUAGUUGGUAGGGUAAUGGCCUACCAAGGCAACGAUGAGUAGCUGGUCUGAGAGGAUGAUCAGCCACACUGGAACUGAAACACGGUCCAGACUCCUACNGGAGGCAGCAGUGGGGAAUAUUGCNCAAUGGGCGAAAGCCUGACNCAACNACCCCCUGUGANGGANNAANGNUUUNCGGUCCUAAACCUNUUUNCGAANGGAAAAACCGGCNUUNGUCNUAUNAGNCNUUNGUUUUACCGGUCCCUUUAAGGGAAGCACCCGGCUAACUCCGUGCCAGCAGCCGCGGUAAUACGGAGGGUGCAAGCGUUAUUCGGAAUUACUGGGCGUAAAGCGCACGUAGGCCGCUUUGUAAGUCAGGGGUGAAAUCCCACGGCUCAACCGUGGAACUGCCUUUGAAACUGCAGAGCUUGAAUCCUGGAGAGGGUGGCGGAAUUCCUGGUGUAGGAGUGAAAUCCGUAGAUAUCAGGAGGAACACCGGUGGC
rnacentral:rRNA from 1 species